rnacentral:rRNA from 1 species
UACGUAGGGCGCAAGCGUUAUCCGGAAUUAUUGGGCGUAAAGAGCUCGUAGGCGGUUUGUCGCGUCUGCUGUGAAAACCCGAGGCUCAACCUCGGGCCUGCAGUGGGUACGGGCAGACUAGAGUGCGGUAGGGGAGAUUGGAAUUCCUGGUGUAGCGGUGGAAUGCGCAGACAUCAGGAGGAACACCAAUGGCGAAGGCAGAUCUCUGGGCCGUAACUGACGCUGAGGAGCGAAAGCAUGGGGGAGCGAACAGG